rnacentral:rRNA from 1 species
GACGAACCGUGCGAACGUUGUUCGGAAUCACUGGGCUUAAAGGGCGCGUAGGCUGGCCGCAAAGUCAGGGGUGAAAUCCUCCAGCUUAACUGGAGAACUGCCUCUGAUACUGGCGGUCUCGAGGAAGGUAGGGGCGUGUGGAACUCUAGGUGGAGCGGUGAAAUGCGUUGAUACCUAGAGGAACUCCGGUGGCGAAGGCGACACGCUGGACCUUUUCUGACGCUGAGGCGCGAAAGCCAGGGGAGCAAACGGG